AGUGCACGCUGGCGGCUUUCCUAAUACAUGCAAGUCGAAGGAAGUGGCGCACGGGUGAGUAAUCUUUAGCUAAUCUGCCCCUUGCUGGAGGACACCAGUCAGAAAUGACUGCUAAUACUCCAUAGCAAGGGAUGAGAAUAUAUCGUAUCAGCUAGUCGGUGGGGUAACGGCCUACCGAGGCUAUGACGCGUAACUGGUCUGAGAGGAUGAUCAGUCACAUUGGAACUGGAACACGGUCCAAACUCCUGCGGGAGGCAGCAGUAGAGAAUAUUGCGCAAUGGGGGAAACCCUGACGCAGCAACGCCGCGUGGAGGAUGACACUUUUCGGAGCGUAAACUCCUUUUGUUAGGGAAGCGGUACCUAACGGAUAAACACCGGCUAACUCCGUGCCAGCCGCCGCGGUAAUUC
rnacentral:rRNA from 1 species